rnacentral:lncRNA from 1 species
UCUUUCUGCUACGAAUGUUAUUUGUAUCUUCUUUCCAAUGCCAAAUUAUUUUUUAAGAUAUAAUUAUUUCAUAUCCUGUGAAAUAAAUGAUUUGCACAUUUGUCUGUUUUGUAUUUUAUUCCUCUGCUUUGCUAUGUGGCUGUGUUAAGUCUAACCAGCGUCUCUUUUUUGUAGAUGAUUCUUGAAAAGAAAGUGAACAGCCGUCCAAAGGAGCAAAUGCAGAGAGAAGACAUUCAGUUAAGUCAGUCUCAACCCAGACCCUUUUUGCCAUAUUCCAAUUCUGCGACUUUAACCACCAGGAAAAGCCAGAGAGCACCAACACCGCCUCUCCUAAAGCAUCCACACACGCAUGCUGGAGCUACAGCUCAUGUCCAGCCAGAAGUAUCCAGCCAGAGUGAAGACGGAGCGAGAUCUCUAUGUCAGAGAUCGAGGAUCAGUGUGAUCUACAACCCCAUAACACACUCUACUGUUCAAACAGGUAAUGCAAAUUCUGGUGCUGUGAUCAGGAACUAUUCUGCACCACCUCCGCAACAGGCAAGAACCGCCAGCAAUGGGAAACCGAGGAGACAAAAUACACGGGCAAAUGCAAACACUCAGCUACUUCCUACAAGUGUACAGAACCUUUGUAAUAAUCCAAGAAAUACUCAGUUUCACAGCAAAGAUGUUCACCCCCUUCUGAAAUCCAGUAAAAAGAUGUUCCAUAUUACUGCAAAUGUGGGAGCUGCUGGUGAUCCAAAAGCAUCAAUGGGCAGUUACUCUCAGGCCUAUGGAACCAUAUGUCAGUCUGCACUGCAGAGUCUUCCAAUAUCAAAUUCCUCCCAGCAACAUGAGUAGCAAAUAUGGAAGAGUUCUAACCAGGUCUCAUGCGUCCCCUGACUCCACCAGGAACAGCAAGUGAGAGCUAAAUAUAAAAGGCAUUUGAUCGUCGCCCCAGCCAAAGAGAAAUGCCGUAUUCAUUGCUUGGGACAACGUACUACCUUCCUCGGGACAAACCAGCAGGGAAAAGAAAUGAAUCCUUUUACCUUCCAGUCUUCCCAGCACAGCAUUAUUUGCUCCCAUACCAUCACAGUUCUGUCCACAGUCCUUACUUCCAUUACUGCAAAAAAUUACAGAAAGCUGCGACGUUCUGAUACUUGACUGUCUUUACACAUAUUCAGAUUUCUUCAGUAGGUUCAGAUGUACUGCCUAAAUCCAGACCUUUUUUGUGCAGAAAAAGUAACCAUCUAUUUCCUGAAGACCAAGACCGAACUCCUCACAGAUAAUGUUAAAGCCCUUCAUUUUGUAUUACACUAAUUUGUAUACGACUCUUUCAGGGCAAGUGAAUGAACCUGAACAAACACAAUCAAUGAUGAUUACUUUCAACAAAAUCAAGUAGAAAAGCAUUUUACAUAUGGGUGGGCUCUGAUACAAGACUUAGUACUAUACCUACCAUGUAUUAAUAAUGUAUGUUGUAAGUACUGCAAUAAUAAAUCUUCUGUGUUGCCCUACA